rnacentral:lncRNA from 1 species
AUCCACUAUAAAAAUAAUUGUACACCAAAAUCUCAAGUGACCAACUUGAGAAACACCAAAAAAAUAGAGACGAUACAAGAACACCCUUUGGGACAAAUAUUGUACCCAAAGAAACCUCACAAACACUCUUGUAUAAUAUAUACUCUAAUUUUUUUGGACACUAACUAUCACUCACCAAAUUGUGAGUAACUCUCAAAAUUCUCUCUCGGAUAUAACACACAAAAGGAUUGUUUUUGUGUUGGUGUGUUCCAUUUAGCUUGCUCUCCCCAAUGGCCUUUAUAUAGGCAAAGAAAGAAACAUGGUUGGUGGGGUUGGUGACCUACCAAUUUGAACACAUAAGUCGGCCAGCACCUUUUCACAUGGUUGAUGAGGUUGGUGACUUACCAAUUUGAACACAUAAGUCGGCUAGCACCUUUUCACAUGGUUAAUGGGGUUGGUGACCUACCAAUUUGAACACAAAAUUGUGGCUGCACCUUUUCACAUGGUUGAGAGAUUAUUCAA